UAAUGUUCAACCCAUAUAUAAAGCGAAAAUCAUCUUUAAUCCGCUACUAAGCUAAUGCAGCCUUUUUGGAUCGUCGAAGUCUGAAGUCUUCUCAUCAACCUGCACCUGGUCUAACACAAGGCAUUCGCAACCUAGCCCAACUUUUUUCUAGUUUUAUUCUAUCUUGUUCGAGUUAUUAGAACAAAAAUGAAGGUCCUCCUCCUGUCAGUGCUUCUGAUAGUACUUCUCCACUGUCAUGGAGGCCUUUCAAUGAUGGGUGCACAGGGUGGAGAUGACGAAAAUCAACGAUACGCCAACUUGCACGAGCUGGUCAAGAAAAUUAGGGAUGAUCUACUGAAUCGAGGAAUCAUUGAGGGAAGAAUGCAGUUUGCCUUCUUGCUGCUAGGCGACGACACUUUGUUAAAUUCUGUCAGAUCUUUCAGCCCUAACCCUAGUCUCCUCUUUGCCAGACUUAACCGGAAUCGAAAUAGAUACAAUGAUUUAUUGGUAGCUAUACCAAAAGGACCGCGUCACGCUGAGAUCAUCCUUCUCAGUGAACUGUAUCCACUUUAUAAAGCUUACAUGAAAAAGCAUGAUCACAGCCCUGAGUUUAUUCUCCUGUACUCUAAUCGCAUGCCGUGUGAAAGCUGUACCACUGAAAUAAUAAAUUCAAAAAAUAGUCGUGGUGCACAAAUGCCUGGUGUGAAGUGGUUUGUUGGGUAUCCAUGUAGGAAACAGUACACGUGUGCCUGACAUUAAUGACCAGACAACUAAAGAGAAUGUUGCUCGCUUGAAGGCCAAUGGCAUCCGCGUAUUCAAAGUCAACUUUCUCGAGACGCCCUCACUGUUCAGCGAAAUAGAACAAAGGAAGAGAGAACACAUUCAGUAAACAAUCUUGAAGUCUCUCUUUUUGUCUAGUUAAAGUGUUUAACGACAGAAGAAGUAAAUAAAUGUUAUGCACUGAUUUUAACUUUCAUUGCGAUACACAAGUUUUAUUUUUUUCUUUUCGUACAUUUUCGGGAUGAAAAACGAGAUUUCACUCCCACCUCUUCCCCUAUUUCAUUUUUUUUCUUAUAUUGCCAAAAUGAAAUUGCUAUUGUCUGCCUCAAAACUUCAUGUGUUUUCAUACUUGAAUGACACACAAUGUUACUCCUACUGGUUUCUAAAUAGAAAACUGCUUUUCAUGGUUAUAGACACAAAUAAUGAACUAGUAAGUACUGCUAUUUAUGUGGCUAUAGACACAAAUCUUGAAAGACUGUUAACCUAACGGUUCUCGUUUUUUCAACCUACUUUUUUAUUUCAUUGCUAAUAAUUUCUUGAAUAAGUUUUUAAGUUGUUAAAUGUAUGCGUUGGUUGAAUCCCAUUUGUUCACGUCCAUGUGAUACUGCUUCACAAGCUCAUUGUCAGUGUUGUAUAAAAACCAAAGCUUUUUUAAAGGUCUACACACUGAGACAGUAGACAUGACUACACUGACAUCAUCUAGCCUACCCUUUGUCAGCGCAUUUUCGUUUCUUUGCUUUUUUAUUUUCUGCCAAUAGUACGUGCUUUAUUCAUCAAUGUAGUUUUCUUUUAUUGAGCAUUAUUUACGUAUUAUGUUAAACUCUUCCAGCUGCCUUGCUAGGUCUUGAAAUGUAUAUUCUAGCACUCUCUCUUUUGUGUAUUUUUAAUUUUUUUAUAUUUUUGUUGUAUGGAUAUAACCGCUUUGCUUCACAUUAUUUUAAAUUUUUUUGAAAAUUAUUUUUUUGUCAUGAAGGUGACAAGUAUUAGAUACGUUUACUGUGUAAUGAUUACAAUAGUAAUUACUAGUAAACAUGUUACGUGCUAUCAAGUUGUUGUGGAGACUGUUCAUCAACCAUCUAAUCUUUAGUUUCGCCAUGCUGAUUUAUGCAUCAAUAAUAAUAAUAAAAAGUUAUGCUGAUUUCA